GCGUGUGUGAAGAAGGCCUUUUGGUUGUAAAGCACUUUAAGCAGUGAAGAAGACCUAAUGGUUAAUACCCAUUAGCGAUGACAUUAGCUGCAGAAUAAGCACCGGCUAACUCUGUGCCAGCAGCCGCGGUAAUACAGAGGGUGCAAGCGUUAAUCGGAAUUACUGGGCGUAAAGCGAGCGUAGGUGGCUUGAUAAGUCAGAUGUGAAAUCCCCGGGCUUAACCUGGGAACUGCAUCUGAUACUGUUAAGCUAGAGUAGGUGAGAGGGAAGUAGAAUUUCAGGUGUAGCGGUGAAAUGCGUAGAGAUCUGAAGGAAUACCGAUGGCGAAGGCAGCUUCCUGGCAUCAUACUGACACUGAGGCUCGAAAGCGUGGGUAGCAAACAGGAUUAGAUACCCUGGUAGUCCACGCCGUAAACGAUGUCUACUAGUCGUUGGGUCCCUUGAGGACUUAGUGACGCAGCUAACGCAAUAAGUAGACCGCCUGGGGAGUACGGCCGCAAGGUUAAAACUCAAAUGAAUUGACGGGGGCCCGCACAAGCGGUGGAGCAUGUGGUUUAAUUCGAUGCAACGCGAAGAACCUUACCUGGUCUUGACAUA
rnacentral:rRNA from 1 species